rnacentral:tRNA from 1 species
GCGUACGUGGCGAAGUGGUUAACGCGCUCGGUUGCAGCCCGAGUAUCCCCCAGGUUCGAAUCCUGGCGUGCGCU